AUUGAACGCUGGCGGAAUGCUUUACACAUGCAAGUCGAACGGCAGCACGGACUUCGGUCUGGUGGCGAGUGGCGAACGGGUGAGUAAUACAUCGGAACGUGCCCAGUCGUGGGGGAUAACGUAGCGAAAGCUACGCUAAUACCGCAUACGAUCUACGGAUGAAAGCGGGGGAACGCAAGACCUCGCGCGAUUGGAGCGGCCGAUGGCAGAUUAGGUAGUUGGUAGGGUAAAGGCCUACCAAGCCGACGAUCUGUAGCUGGUCUGAGAGGAUGAUCAGCCACACUGGGACUGAGGCACGGCCCAGACUCCUACGGGAGGCAGCAGUGGGGAAUUUUGGACAAUGGACGCAGGUCUGAUCCAGCCAUUCCGCGUGCAGGAUGAAGGCCCUCGGGUUGUAAACUGCUUUUGUACAGAACGAAAAGGCUCUGGUUAAUACCUGGGGCUCAUGACGGUACUGUAAGAAUAAGCACCGGCUAACUACGUGCCAGCCGCCGCGGUAA
rnacentral:rRNA from 1 species